rnacentral:rRNA from 1 species
UACAGAGGUCUCAAGCGUUGUUCGGAUUCAUUGGGCGUAAAGGGUGUGUAGGUGGCGCGCUAAGUCGGGUGUGAAAUUUCGGAGCUUAACUCCGAAACUGCAUUCGAUACUGCCGUGCUUGAGGACUGGAGAGGAGACUGGAAUUUACGGUGUAGCGGUGAAAUGCGUAGAUAUCGGAAGGAACGCCGGUGGCGAAAGCGACGGACUGGAUCUCUUCUGACGCUGAGGCGCGAAAGCCAGGGGAGCAAAGCG